UACGAAGGGGGCUAGCGUUGCUCGGAUUGACUGGGCGUAAAGGGCGCGUAGGCGGUUCGUACAGUCAGACGUGAAAUUCCUGGGCUCAACCUGGGGGCUGCGUUUGAUACGUGCGGGCUUGAGUGCGGAAGAGGGUCGUGGAAUUCCCAGUGUAGAGGUGAAAUUCGUAGAUAUUGGGAAGAACACCGGUGGCGAAGGCGGCCUGCUGGGCCGAUCCUGACGCUGAGUGCGCGAAAGCCAGGGGAGCAAACGGG
rnacentral:rRNA from 1 species